AUGUUGAAUCGUGUUUCAGCUCAGCUCAGUCUGAGUUCAUCAUGUUAAAUUAAAUAUUGGUUAUAGAACAUAAAAGCAUCCGUUAAACACUUGCUCGACUGAAUACAAGUCGUCAGGAUUGAGUGUAUGAUUACACAUAAAUGUUAAACUUCUUCGAUUUCAUCUAACGCAUAGUUGUUUGUUGACACAUUUGCAUAGUUGAGUUUGUUAAACCGCACAACAACUGGAUAACGAGAGUUUGGAUUUACCUGAUCAACGGUCACAACUGAUCCAACAUUGUUGCACCAAUAUGACUCAUUCCUAAGAAUUCUA
rnacentral:lncRNA from 1 species